AUGCCCCCGCGGGGCGGCUGCGGCGGCCGCGGGCAGGUCGGCGGCGACCGCCGAGUGGCGCGCUCGCGGAGAGGCGGCGGGUCUGGUCGUGGAUCCCGGUGGAGCAGCGGCGAAGCCGCCUCGUCAGCGCCCGCGUCCUCUGAGCACGUCCACUGUCCCCAGCCUGGCGAUCAGGUAGCGAGCAGCGCAACUCCGAAUUGCUGCGGCUCCCGCCUAUUACUGAGACUGCGAGUAGCAGUUGUCCGACACCCGGGGGGACGCACACUCGCUGUUGCAAUUGAUUACGGGUAAUUUCGCAGCCUCCACGUUUCGGCUACCUCAUGAAUACACUAAAUUGUUUGGAUAAUA